rnacentral:rRNA from 1 species
CGUGUAGGCGGUUUGGUAAGUUGGGUGUGAAAGCUCCGGGCUCAACCCGGAGAUGCCGCUCAAUACUACCAGACUAGAGGACGAUAGAGGGAGGUGGAAUUCCGGGUGUAGCGGUGAAAUGCGUAGAUACCCGGAGGAACACCAGUGGCGAAGGCGGCCUCCUGGGUCGUUCCUGACGCUCAGACGCGAAAGCUAGGGUAGCGAACG